rnacentral:rRNA from 1 species
UACGUAGGGUGCAAGCGUUGUCCGGAUUUAUUGGGCGUAAAGAGCUCGUAGGCGGCUCAGUAAGUCAGGUGUGAAAACUCCAGGCUCAACCUGGAGACGCCACUUGAUACUGCUGUGGCUAGAGUCCGGUAGGGGAGCAUGGAAUUCCUGGUGUAGCGGUGAAAUGCGCAGAUAUCAGGAGGAACACCAGUGGCGAAGGCGGUGCUCUGGGCCGGAACUGACGCUGAGACGCGAAAGCGUGGGGAGCAAACAGG